rnacentral:rRNA from 1 species
GAUGAACGCUGGCGGCGUGCUUAACACAUGCAAGUCGAGCGGGCAAUUUAUCUAGCACUGAUUACUUCAAAUGGAAAUCAUAAGUGUAAUCAUGAAUUUCUACCUUUAAUAAAGAAAAAAGAAAUUCAUGUACGCAAAUAGUGAUAACACAUUUUAGUGGAGUGAUGAGUGCUGGAUAAAUUGCUAGCGGCGGACGGGUGCGUAACACGUGGGUAACCUGCCCCUAUCACUGGGAUAACACACUGAAAAGUGUGCUAAUACCAGAUAACAUAAGCUUUUGGCAUCAUUAGCUUAUCAAAGAAUUUCGGAUAGGGAUGGGCCCGCGUCUGAUUAGCUAGUUGGUGAGGUAACGGCUCACCAAGGCAACGAUCAGUAGCCGACCUGAGAGGGUGAUCGGCCACACUGGAACUGAGACACGGUCCAGACUCCUACGGGAGGCAGCAGUGGGGAAUAUUGCACAAUGGACGCAAGUCUGAA